AACGAACGCUGGCGGCGCGUCUUAAGCAUGCAAGUCGAGCGGCAAGGGCAGCAAUGCCCCUAGAGCGGCGGACUGGUGAGUAACGCGUGGGUGAUCUACCUUUGGGAUGGGGAUAGCCAGUGGAAACAUUGGGUAAUACCGAAUACGUUUGUUGCGCUAUCGCGCGACAAGGAAAGGUUCGUUUGGACCGCCCGAAGAUGAGCCUGCGUUCCAUUAGCUAGUUGGUGAGGUAAAGGCCCACCAAGGCGAUGAUGGGUAGCCGGCCUGAGAGGGUGUACGGCCACAUUGGGACUGAGAUACGGCCCAAACUCCUACGGGAGGCAG
rnacentral:rRNA from 1 species